AUAGAUAAUUUUCACAAAUGAAAUCCGGUGUUAUGCUAAAACAAACAAAAACAGGACUGAAAGAACAUGUUAGGGUUUAAAACACAGAAACAGCAGUUGUUCUACCGUUAGCCACCAGGGGGCGAUCAAGACGUUACGUCAAAGAAAAACAGACGGCGUCAUUUCCUGGCCAGCUCAGACGUCUGUGAGAGAGACGUUUGGAAACAGAAACUGAUGAAAACUGUGUCGACUAUGUCGAGAUGGCUUGACUGAAUCACAGAGUGUCGUGUUUAGAGAUCAGAGUAAACCGUAGAGGAGCAGCCAUGGCCUGCGCUCGAGUGCCGCUGGAUGAGCAGCAUGUGACGGAGUCGGGCCCUUUGGGAAAGGAGCGCACUCUGCCUGCACUGCACCCAGACAGGAAGGAGGAGCGCUGCUUCGUGCCUUACAAACCUCCCCCAGAAGACGGCUCUCCGGCCGAUGUGGAGGAGUUUCUGGAACACGCCAGGUUUAUAGCAGAAGACCUGGAGUGGCUGCUGGCGCUGCCUCACGACAAGUUCUGGUGUCAGGUGGUGUUUGAUGAGUCUCUGCUGCGGUGCCUCGACUCGUACCUGCAGCUGGCUCCGCGCGGCCUUGACCUUUGCACCCUGCCCCUGUCGCCGGCGGUGGCCGACGUGCAGCGCACCAUCCACAAGGCGGUUUUCCUGACCUUCCUCCGGAUGGCCACUCAUAAAGAGUCCAAGGAAAAUUUUAUCACCCCGUCUGUGUUCGGAGAGAUUAUCUACAACAACUUUGUGUUCGACAUUCCUAAAAUUAUGGAUUUGUGCGUUCUCUUCGGAAAGGGCAACAGCCAGCUGCUUCAUAAGAUGAUAGAGAACAUUUUUACUCAGCAGCCGGCUUACUACAGCGACCUGGAGGAGACGGUUCCCACAGUGCUACAGGUGUUUGACACAAUCCUGGAGAAAUGUGGUCUGCGGUGUGAAGGAGCCACGGCCAUGGAGCCGAUGAAGCUGAGCGCACAGAAACAGCCGACGGCCAUGAGGAUGAACCUGGAGGAGCUUGCAGAUUUAGUUUUGUACUUGUGCGACUCGACCACCACCAUCCACGCCUUCCUGGACAUCUUUCCCGCCGCUUGUUCCAGCUUCCACUCCCACGGCUUCCUCAGCAGGCUGCCGCCGUUUUACGAGGCCGCUGUGCCGGACUUGGAGAAAGCCAUCAGGAAGAGAAACUUUGACGAUAAAAGUCUGCAGGAAGACCUGUGGAAGAGGAUGAGCCACUCCUGCAGGAAGAUGGUGGAGACGACUCACCUGCUGCUGCACCACACCUGCCUGCAGCCCAUCCUGGAGGGUCGAGAAAACAUGCAAACGUUUGCUGAGGAACUCCUGCAAUAUUUUACAUCUUUUUUACCCGAGAAAAGGUUUCUAGUCGACUACGACGAUCAGUUUCCCAUCUCAGACGACAUCAGCCUCCUGCAGCAAGCUCUCCCUGUCAUUGACGAGACAAGGACGUUGUAUUUGCUGGAGGGUGUGGAAAGCGCCUGGGACGCCACGGGCCGACGAAGACCACAGACUGAAGGCGCUUCCUCGUCGCCAGCCAAUCACGGCGCGGCGGCAGCCUGUUCGGACGGCUUCGGGUCGCCAGAGGUCAAAGAGUCGAGAGGAGAGAGGCUGGAGGGGGCCGAGGCCAAGAUGGCCGCCCCACAGAAAGGCGACAAUGGCGCCAUGUGUCCUGUGAGCGGGCCGGAGCUCGAGUCGCUCCUGUCCUGCAUCAGGGAUCUGCUUCCUGACCUGGGCGAAGGCUUCCUGCUGGCCUGUCUGCAGGAAUACGACUACAACUCUGAGCUGGUCAUCAACAACAUCCUGGAGGACCGACUGGCUCCCAGCCUGGAGAAACUGGACCGAAACAUGCCGAGGCCGGUGAAAGAGGAUCUGCCAGGUGUCCUGAACAACCGAUCCAACGUGUUCGACGACGACGAGUUCGACGUCUUCCGCAGGAAUCAGGUGGACAUGUCCCGCGUCUGGAAGGGCAGGAGGAAAGGCGAGAGCGCCCGAGAGAUGCUGGACGACAAGCAGCACAUAGCGGAGCAGCGAGCGCGCUACAUGACGUACGAGACGGUGGUGGACGAAGUCGCCGUCGAGCCGGGAGCGUCGGCCGACGCCGACCCCUACGACCUGGACUACGACGACGAGUACGACGACACGUACGACAUGAACCAGGUCGGAGCCAACGACCUGGACGGAGACAGUUUACUCAGCAGGAGGCCGUUCACCGUCCCUCAGGUACUGAGGAAAGGAACCAAACCGGGGGAAGAGGAGCAGGAAGACGAUGAAGACGAAGACGUUUCACAGAACCCUGUGAACCGGGACCAGUUCGUUCAGGACCCGGCUCUGCUGAGGGAGAGAGCCGAAGCCAAACGAGCUGCCAUGCAGCAGAGGAGAGGGUUCCGGCCCGAGCGGCCCAGUAACGUGGUGGGUCGACCCAAAGGCCAGGGACAGACGACGGAGACGUUCCUGGACCGACGCAAGAAGGAGGCCAACAAGAGCCGCGUGAGCAACCACAACCGGCGCUCCAUGGCGGACCGCAAGAGGAACAAAGGCAUGAUCCCCUCCUGACCCGCUCUGCGGCGCUGCUGGAGGUCCGGCUGACCCGGUUCUGAGCUUCUCCUCCGUCACAGAGCGUCUCCUCCAUCACAGAGCUUCUCCUCCCUCACAGAGCUUCUCCUCCGUCAGAGCUUCUCCUCCCUCAGAGAGCUUCUCCUCCGUCACAGUGCUUCUCCUCCGUCACAGAGCUUCUCCUCCAUCACAGAGCUUCUCCUCCAUCACAGAGCUUCUCCUCCGUCACAGAGCUUCUCCUCCGUCACAGAGUGUCUCCAUCAGAGCGUGUCCUCCAUUGCGGAGCUGUUCAUCUCCUUCUUCUGGAAGAACAUCAGCCGACCAAACGAUCAGAGUGGCCGCUAGUGCCCCCUCCUGAUCGUGAGAACCGGGUCAGAACCAAACGUCUGGAAGCACAGGCUGCGUCAUGUUGCCAUGCACAAACUAUUUUCUACACAGAGAACCCAUCUAUCUGUCAGAACAUUUUGUAACAAGACAAAUUAUUACUAUUUUGGAGUUGAUAUGACAUAGAAAACAAAAGCAGAUAAUAAAUAAUGCAGUUGUUUUGACAUCUUU